GGAGGGAUGGCCGAGUGGUUGAAGGCGGCGGUCUUGAAAACCGCUUUCCGGUGUAACCCCGGAACGGGGGUUCGAAUCCCUCUCCCUCCGCCA
rnacentral:tRNA from 1 species